rnacentral:rRNA from 1 species
GACCCCAGGUUAGGCAGGGCUACCUGCUGAGCUUAAGCAUAUCAAUAAGCGGAGGA